GGCUGGCGGGGCGGCGGGCCCGGGGCCGGGGGCGGGGGGGCGUCCGCGCGGGGGAGCGCCGAAACUUGGAGCCCGAGCUCCGGGGCUGGAGGCGCGCCGGCCCCGGGGACGUCACAGCGCUGGAAUCCGCGGAAUGCCGGGCGGCAGGAGCUCCUUGUGCAGGCCCGGGAGAAGUCGCGCACUUUUGGUGCGGCGGCUUUGGGGAAUGUUUAAAGGUUGAAAAGGGGGCUUGAAGUCAUUGUCACAGAAGAUGUCCCAGAAGACUUCAGUGUCCCACCACUCACGCAAAAAUCUGGAUCUCUGGCGGAAGAGAACUGGAACCAAGAAACAAAACGUGUUGUGCCCAUCAUGUAGCAGUUGGUGGUGACUGACUUCUCCAACGGAGUAACUGCCAACCUCCAGAACAAUAAAGAAGUCCAGAAGGCCCCAGACGGAUGGAAGGAAAAGGCUGUAGAGAAUUAAACAUCAGUUUCUCAAACUUGCAAGGAUAUAUAGCUGGAUAGCUUCAGGAUGGACUUGCUGGAUUUCCAAAGAAAGUCGCCAAACGCUUUGCUGUGCUCCGGGAAGCAUGGAAAGCACUUUUUAUGUGCACCUCUAUUGUUAUCCCAUUUACUAGAUGAGAAAAGUGAGGACUGAAGAAAUCACCCGUCUUACCAAGGGUCCCACAGUUUGUGAAAUAUGGUAAUAGACCCCAGUCUGGCCCCAAAAUGCAAGCUCUUAAAUUCUUCAAAAUUUGACCAAAAUAGAAUGAAAAUUAUCAAUGAGGGAAUACCUGCAGGCUCUCAAAGGAACACAGACGUGAGGCGUCUUGGGGCCGACGAGGAAAAGAUGUGGCCUUUGUGUAUUGUAGCUCUGCCAUGCCUAACUCCGAGCACAGCUUGCAGAGACAGUUGGGGUGUUAGAAGAGCAAAGGUUGCGAGUAGACAUACGAUUCUGGUUCUGCCUCUGACCAGCCACGUGACCCUGAACAAGCCACUUCACCCCUAGGCCUAAGUUUAUUUUUUAAGUGGAGUGUGACAUGGAGGUCAGAGUUUGGUUGAAUUACUUCAUCUCUGAGGUCUUUCCCCAGUCUGAACUUGAAUGAACGUCUACUCCUCCAGGCCAGUGGCAUGUGGAUGGAGGAAGCUCCUUGAUAAAGCCAGGAUGUCUUGGGGAGAGGACUGUUUUCACGCCGCCUUUGGAAUCAAAAUGAAUGUUGGGAAUGUUGCUGAGUGUUCCACGGCCAAAACAAAACACACAGACACACACACUCAUAUUUAGCACUGUCUGUGGCCUCAUUUUAAUUUAAAUAAUUUUACUUCUAUAUUUUAAAAAACUGUACACAUUAUCAAUUUAAAAGCCAAUAUGAAAUACAUCUGACCAGCCACU